AUUGAACGCUGGCGGCAGGCCUAACACAUGCAAGUCGAGCGGAUGAGGGGAGCUUGCUCCUGGAUUCAUCGGCGGACGGGUGAGUAAUGCCUAGUAAUCUGCCUGGUAGUGGGGGAUAACGUCCGUAAACGGGCGCUAAUACCUCAUACGUCCUGAGUGAGAAAGUGGGGGAUCUUCGGACCUCACGCUAUCAGAUGAGCCUAGGUCGGAUUAGCUAGUUGGUGGGGUAAAGGCCUACCAAGGCGACGAUCCGUAACUGGUCUGAGAGGAUGAUCAGUCACACUGGAACUGAGACACGGUCCAGACUCCUACGGGAGGCAGCAGUGGGGAAUAUUGGACAAUGGGCGAAAGCCUGAUCCAGCCAUGCCGCGUGUGUGAAGAAGGUCUUCGGAUUGUAAAGCACUUUAAGUUGGGAGGAAGGGCAGUAAGUUAAUACCUGGCUGUUUUGACGUUACCAACAGAAUAAGCACCGGCUAACUUCGUG
rnacentral:rRNA from 1 species